rnacentral:rRNA from 1 species
UACGUAGGGCGCAAGCGUUGUCCGGAAUCAUUGGGCGUAAAGAGCUCGUAGGCGGUUUGUCGCGUCUGCUGUGAAAACUGGAGGCUCAACCUCCAGCCUGCAGUGGGUACGGGCAGACUAGAGUGCGGUAGGGGAGAUUGGAAUUCCUGGUGUAGCGGUGGAAUGCGCAGAUAUCAGGAGGAACACCGAUGGCGAAGGCAGAUCUCUGGGCCGUAACUGACGCUGAGGAGCGAAAGCAUGGGGAGCGAACAGG